AGACUGAACGCUGGCGGCAUGCCUUACACAUGCAAGUCGAACGGCAGCACGGGAGCAAUCCUGGUGGCGAGUGGCGAACGGGUGAGUAAUAUAUCGGAACGUGCCCAGUCGUGGGGGAUAACGUAGAAGAAUUUACGCUAAUACCGCAUACGAUCGUAAGGAUGAAAGGCGGGGGACCGUAAGGCCUUGCGCGAUUGGGAGCGGCUGAUAUCAGUAUUAGGUUGUUGGGUGAAGGUAAAGCUACAACCAAGCCGACGAUCUGUAGUCUGGUUGAGAGGAACGACCAGCCACGACUAGGG
rnacentral:rRNA from 1 species